AGUACAUCGACUCCUAGAACUGUAUUGCUUGCUGCAGUGGGCUGGGUUCUGUGGACUAGCCUAUUAGAGGGGCAUGGAAUCCUGACAUAUUUUACCUUGAUUGGAGAGGCGAGUAGGGUAACUCUCGAGGAGGAGAGCCUUCCGGAAAAGGCAAAGAAGUCGUACCCGA